rnacentral:rRNA from 1 species
CCUACGGGGGGCAGCAGUGGGGAAUAUUGGACAAUGGGGGCAACCCUGAUCCAGCCAUGCCGCGUGUGUGAAGAAGGCCCUCGGGUUGUAAAGCACUUUCAGUGAGGAAGAACGCCUGGUGGUUAAUACCCAUCAGGAAAGACAUCACUCACAGAAGAAGCACCGGCUAACUCCGUGCCAGCAGCCGCGGUAAUACGGAGGGUGCGAGCGUUAAUCGGAAUUACUGGGCGUAAAGCGCGCGCAGGUGGCUUGAUAAGCCGGUUGUGAAAGCCCCGGGCUCAACCUGGGAACGGCAUCCGGAACUGUCAAGCUAGAGUGCAGGAGAGGAAGGUAGAAUUCCCGGUGUAGCGGUGAAAUGCGUAGAGAUCGGGAGGAAUACCAGUGGCGAAGGCGGCCUUCUGGACUGACACUGACACUGAGGUGCGAAAGCGUGGGUAGCAAACAGGAUUAGAUACCCCUGUAGUC